ensembl:lncRNA
GAGACUUCCUCCUCCUCCCUGCGCUCCUUCAGCGGGUGGGGGCGGUGAGUGUUUAAACCUUUGACUGGAGACUGGGAAGCUUCCCAGAUCCUCCUGCCUUUCUGAGUUGGAAGGUCACCCAAGGUCAGCACCAGUCCCCUCCUACCCGCUCUCCCAGUGCGGUCCCUCCCAGCCUUGCUUUAGGAGCAUAGAGGUACCAAGAGACUGUUUCCCAGCUCUUUCUCAGCACCCGCUGGAUUGUGUACCUACUACAUACCAGCUUUAAAUACUACAACAUAAAGCCCUGUUUCUAAGUUUAUUCCGUUUUGCAGACGAGAAAACCAAGGAUCAGUCAGGAUCAUGGAAUCUGCCGGCAUUUCAGCCAAGGUUAGCCUGGGGCCGAGAUCACAUUGUCUGUGGAGCGCCUUCAUUCCCGAAGUACACAGGCUCCCACCCACAGCAGCUGGGACUCAGGCUUUGUUCCUACUGUCACGAGACUAAAAAGAAGACUCAGUCACACAGAGGAAAGGGCGACGUGAGGAUGUAAGCAGAGACUGCAGUGAGAGAGAAGUGAAAGUGAAGCCCUUCAGUGGCGUCCGACUCUGUGACCCCAUGGAUUAUAGUUUACCAGGCUCCUCCGUCCAUAGGAUUCUCCAGGCAAGAGUACUGGAGUGGGUGGCCACUUCCUCCUCCAGGGGAUAUUCCCGACCCAGGGAUUGAACCCAGCUCUCCUGCAUUGUAGGCAGACGCUUUACUGUCUGAGCCACCAGGGAAGUCUCAAAACCCAAGGACCACCAGUGAUUACCAGAAGCCUCUGGAAGCUGACAGAGACGCGUGGAACAGAUGAAGUCAGAGCCCCCAGAGGGAACCAGCCCUGUCCACACCUUGACUUUGGACUUCUGGCCCCAGAACUGUGAGAGAACACAUUU